rnacentral:sRNA from 10 species
GAAAACAAAUCGCUUAAUCUGAAAUCAGAGCGGGGGACCCAAUAGAACGGCUUUUUGCCGUUGGGGUGAAUCCUUUUUAGGUAGGGCUAACUCUCAUAUGCCCGAAUCCGUCAGCUAACCUCGUAAGCGUUCGUGAGAGGAGAU